AGGAUUAACGCUGGCGGCGUGCAUGAAACAUGCAAGUCGAGCGCGGUACGUGGCUUCGGUCACGUAUCUAGCGGCGCACGGGUGAGUAACACGUGAGCAACCUACCUUCGAGUUCGGGAUAGCCCUGGGAAACCAGGAUUAAUACCGGAUGUGGUCACAACGGGACAUCCCGAUGUGAAAAAAGGCGCAAGCCGCUCGAUGACGGGCUCGCGGCCUAUUAGCUUGUUGGUGGGUAACGGCCUACCAAGGCGACGAUGGGUAGCUGGUCUGAGAGGACGAUCAGCCACACUGGGACUGAGACACGGCCCAGACUCCUACGGGAGGCAGCAGUUAGGAAUUUUCCGCAAUGGGCGAAAGCCUGACGGAGCAACGCCGCGUGUGUGAUGAAGGCCUUCGGGUUGUAAGCACUGUCGGAGGGAAGAAUGAAUGACGGUACCCUCCAAGAAGCCAGGCUAACUACGUGCCAGCAGCCGCGGU
rnacentral:rRNA from 1 species